GGCUACGCAUCGCUAGUGUCGUAUGUGUAGCCGCAGGAGUCAGCGGCCAAGCGCUAUACAUACAUAUAGAGUUCACAUGAAUAUUUCGAGUUCAUUAUAUAUAUACAUCUAGAUUCAUAUCGGAAUCUGUUAAUAGUGGUCUGAGCGUGCCAUCGAGAGAGCGAGAGAGGGUAGGAGGAUAGACAGCAGUGUGCCGGCGAACGUCUGUGGUCUCUAACCGAAUCGAAAUCGGUUUCGAAUCGGAUCCGAAACAGUGACUGGAAUUGGACCUGAAUCGAACCGCUAACAGUGAUUAAACCCAAACCCGGAUCGAACCGCUAACAGUGUUUGGAAUCGAAAUCGAAUCGUAACGAUAACAGUGCUUGGGAUCGGAACCGGACCAGCGCUAUAGAUUAACCAAAGUCGGAUCGCGAACGAUGAGCUUCGUCGGCGCCGCCAUGACAUCUUUCACGCUCUGCUGUCUGUUUGCGUUCGUCGGAGUGGUCACUGCGGCAAAAGGCGAAGGGAGUUAUACACUUCCGGCAGAGGGCGUAACGGGCGCCGAAUUAACACUGGAUGAACUCCUGCCUGUGCCUCCCACUGAAAUGCCACAGC